rnacentral:tRNA from 1 species
CCUUGAGGGUUCAAGUCCCUCUAUUCCCAGGUUCAUUUCCAAAAU